rnacentral:lncRNA from 1 species
AGAGAUUUCAAAAGGCCUACAGAUCUCUCCUUCGUUGGGGACCCUGCCUCCUCGGCACGGCUCCCUGCAUGGGAGGACUGUCCCAUUCAAACUGCGAGGGGACAAAAGCAGCUGUCUUUCCAGGGGGUGAAAAACAAUAGCAUCAAGUCUUCCCAUAAACCUCAACAAACAUGCAAACACAGACGUGAAAAUAGGAAUUACAAACCCAAGCAGUGUGGAAAUGGGACUCAAACUCAAGACUUCCGCCUGUCUUUUUCAAGAUUCGGAGAAUGAACUCAGCACGCCUGCUGCAUCUUAAGGCAGAGAGCCAGCUCCAUGAGGACCGCGACACUGCGUCCAGGACAGUUUGCAAAGAUUGCAGCAGUGCCUAGGGCGUUCGCUGUGAUGCAAUGGAUCAACGGUGUCUCUGCAGCCACAGGAAUGCAGGUUCCAUCCUGAGCCCGGCACAGCGGGUUAAGGAUCCAGUGUUGCCCUAGCUGCAGUGUAGGUCACAACUCUGGCUUGGAUUCAGACCCCAGCCUGGGAAC